UGGAAAGGGAACUGGCCUUGUACUGAACGAUGUAUUUGAAUGUAAGGGUGAUGAGACAAGCCUAUGGGAAUGUCCGCGUUCUUUAGGAACUCUUCAUUGCAACCACACGAGCGAUGUCAGUGUGAUCUGUUCUGGGAAAUAUCGACCACGACUGGUGGGUGGGAAGGAUAGAUGCUCUGGCCGGGUGGAGGUUCUACACGGAGACGAGUGGGGGACAGUUUGCGAUCAGUACUUUAGCUUGCUUGAUGCCGGCGUGGUCUGUGAACAACUACAUUGCGGUGCAGUGGCCGCAACUCCCGGAGUUACUCACUUUGGCCGAGGAUCCGGCCCUGUGUGGAAGGAGAACUACCACUGUCGGGGGAACGAGCCCCGAUUAGUUGAUUGUCCAGUCCUACCCAGGGAUCAGACGAGUUGUUCACACGGAAACGACGUCGGUCUCAUCUGCUCAGAUGAAAUUUGGUCUCUGAGAUUGAGCAAUGGGGGCAGCCGCUGCGACGGCCGAGUGGAGGUUUACCACAAUGGUAGAUGGGGGAGAGUGCAGGAUAGCGCCUGGAACAUCAAUGAUUCCAACGUGGUCUGCAGAGAGUUGGGCU